AAAAAAAGAAAACAGCCUCGCGAACUAUCUACCUUCAUCUUCAUCCUCAAUUUGUGCUAAUAUCUGUAACAAUCUGUUCUUACAACUUUAGGGGAUAGAAAAUGACACAGCGACUUGGUAUAUAUGCAAUCACUCCUGAAAUACCAGACUGGACCUGUAAAGUGCAAGUUGUGGAUAUAUGCAAACCAGGAGAAGGUUCUCACCGAAAGAUAAAAUAUUUGAACAUGAUCUUUCAAGAUGAACAGGAAGACCAAAUAAAAGCUAUUGUUUACGGUGACGAAAUCCCCUCUUAUCAAGAUAUAUUCAAACUGUUCCACACCUAUUUGAUAACGGGUGCGCGCAUACAAGUGCCAAAUUUGAGAUAUGAAAGACCCUUGCAUACAUUUGAGUGGAUUAUCGACAAAAAAAUCAUAGUUGAUCCAAUUGAAAAAGAUAGUCCAGAUGAGGAUGAAUUGCCACCACCCACAAAGCUGAAUCUUACGUCAUUUCAAGACAUCAACAAUCAGGCCUCCCAGUCUACCAAAGAGCAGCUUAAGGACGCAGAAUUUAGUAUGGUUAUAUUACUUCUUUUCAGUUUAACUUUUGACACAUUCAUUUAUUAAAUACAAAUUGUUUUGCCAAUAGAUAUAUUCGCAAUUGUUGUCUGCUGCUUCCCGCCAAGGUUUGUUGCAAAAGUCUAGAAAAGAUUGCAAGAACUCAUUCUCAUCGAUACUGACAAAUAAGCUUUCACCUUCACACUAUGGGAAGAAACUAUUAUUGUAAAUUUUUCAAAAAAACGU